GGGGGCUAGAAUGUACUGGGCCCAGGAAUGGGGGGUCUAGAGGGUACUAGACUCAGCUAUGAAGGGUUUAGAGUGUAAUGGGCUCAGGAAUGGGGGUGUAGAGUGUACUGAGCUCAGCUAUGGGGAGCUAGGAGGAUACUAGACUCAGCUAUGGAGGGUCUAGAGUGCACUGGGCCAGGAAUGGGGGGUUUAGAGGGUACUGAGCUCAGCUAUGGGGGGUCUAGAGUGUACUGAGCUGAGCUAUGGGGGUCUAGAGGGUACUAAACUCAGCUAUGGAGAAUUUAGAGGUCCUAGACUCAGCUAUGGGGGGUUAGAGUGUACCGGGCUCAGGAAUGGGGGUCUAGAAGAUACUAGACUCAGCUAUGGAGGGCCUAGAAGGUAGUGGACUCGGGUACAGGGGUUUCGAAGGUACUGGACUCAGCAAUGGGGAACUGGAGGUUCCUAUGACUAUGGGCAGUUUAGAAGGUACUAGAGGCUCAGCUGCGAGUUCGUAUAUUCAAGGCUGAGCAUGAUUUUGUUCCUAUAAACGAGGUUCUACCGUAACAGAGGAUCUACUAACUAUCCCCUUCAUGAGCCCUCCACCACGGAUUUCCACUCUCGAUCAUGGUUUAGGUAAUAGAAGCUACGAUGGGUUAGAGGGUGUACAACAUAUAGAGGGUACUCAGCUACGAGUUCGUAUAUUCGAGGCUGAGCAUGCUUGUAUAAAAGAAGUUCCAUCGUAUCCAGUUAUCCAAACCUGAUUAUACCCACACCCAUUCUAAUAAAUGGAGUUCUACCGUAACAAUGUGUAUAAUUUGAAUCCGGGACUCUUACAUAUCGUAUUUUCAAUGUACACCCACUAUACGUAUAUACAAAUAUAUAUAUUCACUUACGCGUAUACGUGCGUGGAUAUGUGGUAUUCAAGGUAUACAUACACACAUACAUACGUGCUCAUACUCUAUGGAUUUCUAUAUAUGCACAGGCACACAGGCAUGUACCAAUGGUGUAUGUGUUCGUACAUGUACCGGAACGUAUGUGUUUCUCGUGCAUGUACGAGCGUAUGUAACGCGUGUAUGUGUGUAUACGCGAACGAAUGACACACGAGAGAUGCAUACAUACAUAUAUACACAUACACAUAUAUUACUUAGAAUAUACUUUCCUAUAUACAGGGUGUUUUAAAGAUUAUAGUACAAGAGAAAACUGCGGCCUUUGUAGGUGUAAAUGCAACAUAAUUUUUUUAUCGUUGUGCAUCCUUCGUCGAGAAAGGAUUGAAAAUUGUAAGAGCGCUCUGGGGCUCGGGAAUAAACAUUCUGGCUGCAAAAACUAGCAAAUCUUUGAAUCGAAAGUGAAACGAACGUUUCGGCUAUUGAUGUUCAAUUUUUUCGCGAAAAUUGGCACUAGGAAAAAAUUGAAUAAUCUGUGGAUUAACUCGGGUCGAAUAGGAAGGAUUUAGUAAAUUUAAAAUUGGUUUUAUUAAAAUUCUAUCAAAUGCAAUACAGAAUGAAAUGAAUUGCAUUUCAUAAAUUUUAACAGACAUUGUUUUAUGGAUUUUGAAUUUUCACGCAUUUAUUUACUCGCGGGGCUUAAUUUGUUAAACAAUAUACACGCAUUAAGCAGUUUUUAGCUUGUGCGUUAUUUUAUGAAUGUUUUUAGAGUGAGAAAUGAAAAUGAUACUGAACAAGUUUGAAUUGAAUAAAAAGAAGAUUUUCUAGAGGUGUUAACCCUUCCGUUAUGACAGUAGUAAUUUAGUAUUUUAACUAUCCAGAUACACAAUUAUUGUUUACAACAUUGUUCCUCAAGUAAUGUAUUAUUUGAAAUAAUGUAUUUCAAUGAACGUCAUCGAAAUAAAAUAACGUAUUCACGAUGACUAAAAAAUAAAGUCUUCUGUGGUAGCGAAAGGGUUGAAAAAUAAAUGAAUCGAAUGAACGGUAAAUAAAUAAAAAAUAAAUGAAUUUCAAUUUUUUCAAGUGAAGCACUUUCAAGUGCAAAUAAGACGCGAAACAAUUGAAAAAUGUCGAAAGUCGUUUUAUUUUCCAGUCAAAGAUUUCGAAGAAUUACCUCUUGCACCAUUAUUCUUUGAUCACCCUGCAUUUUCUAAUAUUUUUCCAUACAAGCAGACUCUUUUUAACUGAAUAAAAUAUAACCCAAUUUCAUACGCUUUUUUUCAGGAUCUUUAGAUUAUCACUGCGACGGUAUUAAUUAAUUGAUUAUUGUAGAACCGUACCGAUAAGCGAGUUAAUUAAUUAACGCAUUAUUUAAUUCAUUAUAGUGGUAUUAAAAUAGUACACACCUGUGAGAAAUCUGGAGAUAAAUUAACGUGUUUUUUUUCUCAUUUAUUAUUUAUUUUUAAUUCGAAUUUGUAGAAGUUAAUUGUAUUAAUUAAUAUAUAUGUUAUAUAUAUAAAACAACAAAACAUAUAUAUAUAUAUAUAUAUAAAUGCAUAUGUAUAUUAAUUAAUUGUAUGAAUUUAAUAUAUGUUUACAUUAAGACGUUUA